rnacentral:lncRNA from 1 species
UUGAGAUAAGCCUUGAUCUCGGGGAUGCCGGGGCCGGCGGCGGUGGGGGCGAAGACGACGCAGAGCACGGCGGCGACGAAGGUGAGCGCGAAGUUGACGCCGGCGAAGUAGAGGAAGCCCGCCCAGUAGCGCUUCUCGCGGACGAGGUUGACCAUGUGUUGCAUCUUGAGGCCGGAGAUGUUCUCGAUGGCGAGGUUGAUGAGGGACGCGAUGACGCCGGUGAGGAGGCCGACGAGGAACGCCAUGGCCCACUUGAGGAAGAUGUACUGCAGCACCUCCACGUUGGACCGGCUGCGCCAGUCGUGCUUGAACAGAUCGUUCUCGAUGAUCCUGCAUGCCAAGAACAGAACAAGCAGAGCAAUUGAACUUUGAGACGCAAGAGCAGAGCCCGCCGGCGUUCAUCAUCAGCCAUGAUGACAAGCAAGGAGGUACGGUAGUAGUAAGAAGAAGUAGGAAUGCUCACUCGUAGUCGAGGCUCUCGAUGUGGGAGACCUUGGCGCCGACGAUGGCGAGGUGGCUGGCCGUCAGGGUGGUGCUCCGCUUGAGCAGCGGCUGCUCCAGGGAGCUGAUGCCGUUGCCGUCACCGCCGCCGCCGGUGCUCUCCGGGUCUUCUGGGUCUUUCACACCGUCGUCGUUCUUACAUUCCGGCUCCGGCCAUUCCA